rnacentral:rRNA from 14 species
CUGGUUCUCCCCGAAAUGCAUUUAGGUGCAGCGUUGUGUGGUUCGUGUCGGAGGUAGAGCACUGGAUGGUCUAGGGGGCUUAUCGGCUUACCGAAAUCAGCCAAACUCCGAAUGCUGGCAAGUGUAGCGUGGCAGUGAGACGGCGGGGGAUAAGCUUCGUCGUCGAGAGGGAAACAGCCCAGAUCAUCAGCUAAGGCCCCUAAGUGGUGACUCAGUGGGAAAGGAUGUGGAGUUGCGUAGACAACCAGGAGGUUGGCUUGGAAGCAGCCAUCCUUGAAAGAGUGCGUAAUAGCUCACUGGUCAAGUGAUUCCGCGCCGACAAUGUAGCGGGGCUCAAGUUAUCCGCCGAAGCUGUGGCAACUUUUUUGAGUUGGGUAGGGGAGCGUCGUGUUCGUGGUGAAGCAGCCUGGUGAUGGGUUGUGGAGUGGAUGCGAGUGAGAAUGCAGGCAUGAGUAGCGAAUGACGGGUGGGAAACCCGUCCGCCGAAUAUCCAAGGGUUCCAGGGUCAAGUUAAUCUGCCCUGGGUGAGUCGGGACCUAAGGCGAGGCCGACAGGCGUAGUCGAUGGACGACCAGUUGAUAUUCUGGUACCGGUGUAGCACCGUCCGUGUCGAGGUGUGUGAUGCUAAGCGUGCGAGUGUCCUGGUGAUCCCUUCGGGGUGAUCUUGUGGCGUGAGUGUGUGAACCGAUCAUGUAGUAGACAAGCUGCGGAGGGACACAGUGAGGUAGCUCGUCCCCGGCGAUGGUUGUCCGGGGCUAAAUGUGUGGACUGUCUGGUAGGUAAAUCCGUCAGGCGUUGAGUUGAGGCAUGAUGGCGAGCCAUGUUUGUGUGGUGAGCGAGUGAUCCUGUGCUGUCGAGAAAAGCUUCGUGAGCGAGGUGUGAGCCGCCCGUACCCUAAACCGACACUGGUGGAUUGGUAGAGUAUACCGAGGCGAUCGAGAGAAUCAUGGUGAAGGAACUCGGCAAAAUGCCCCCGUAACUUUGGAAGAAGGGGGACCUGAGCUGUUGCCGCCACGUGCUGGUGGUUGCGGUGAGGGGCGCAGAGAAUUGGGGGAAGCGACUGUUUACCAAAAACACAGGUCCGUGCGAAGUCGUAAGACGAUGUAUACGGACUGACUCCUGCCCGGUGCUGGAAGGUUAAGGGGAACUGUUAGCUUUGGCGACGCGGUGAACUUAAGCCCCAGUAAACGGCGGUGGUAACUAUAACCAUCCUAAGGUAGCGAAAUUCCUUGUCGGGUAAGUUCC